CAGCAGCCGCGGUAAUACGUAGGGUGCGAGCGUUAAUCGGAAUUACUGGGCGUAAAGCGUGCGCAGGCGGUUCGUUAAGACAGAUGUGAAACCCCCGGGCUUAACCUGGGAACUGCAUUUGUGACUGGCGAGCUAGAGUAUGGCAGAGGGGGGUAGAAUUUCACGUGUAGCAGUGAAAUGCGUAGAGAUGUGGAGGAAUACCGAUGGCGAAGGCAGCCCCCUGGGCCAAUACUGACGCUCAUGCACGAAAGCGUGGGGAGCAAACAGGAUUAGAUACCCGCGUAGUCCCUGUCUCUUAUAC
rnacentral:rRNA from 1 species